AGACCCGAAACCCGGUGAUCUAGCCAUGGGCAGGUUGAAGGUUGGGUAACACUAACUGGAGGACCGAACCGACUAAUGUUGAAAAAUUAGCGGAUGACCUGUGGCUGGGGGUGAAAGGCCAAUCAAACCGGGAGAUAGCUGGUUCUCCCCGAAAGCUAUUUAGGUAGCGCCUCGUGAAUUCAUCUCCGGGGGUAGAGCACUGUUUCGGCUAGGGGGCCAUCCCGGCUUACCAACCCGAUGCAAACUGCGAAUACCGGAGAAUGUUAUCACGGGAGACACACGGCGGGUGCUAACGUCCGUCGUGAAGAGGGAAACAACCCAGACCGCCAGCUAAGGUCCCAAAGUCAUGGUUAAGUGGGAAACGAUGUGGGAAGGCCCAGACAGCCAGGAUGUUGGCUUAGAAGCAGCCAUCAUUUAAAGAAAGCGUAAUAGCUCACUGGUCGAGUCGGCCUGCGCGGAAGAUGUAACGGGGCUAAACCAUGCACCGAAGCUGCGGCAGCGACACUGUGUGUUGUUGGGUAGGGGAGCGUUCUGUAAGCCUGUGAAGGUGGCCUGUGAGGGUUGCUGGAGGUAUCAGAAGUGCGAAUGCUGACAUAAGUAACGAUAAAGCGGGUGAAAAGCCCGCUCGCCGGAAGACCAAGGGUUCCUGUCCAACGUUAAUCGGGGCAGGGUGAGUCGACCCCUAAGGCGAGGCCGAAAGGCGUAGUCGAUGGGAAACGGGUUAAUAUUCCCGUACUUGGUGUUACUGCGAAGGGGGGACGGAGAAGGCUAUGUUGGCCGGGCGACGGUUGUCCCGGUUUAAGCGUG
rnacentral:rRNA from 1 species